CAGUCGCCACGGUAAUACGGAGGGUGCAAGCGUUACUCGGAAUCACUGGGCGUAAAGGACGCGUAGGCGGAUUAUCAAGUCUCUUGUGAAAUCUAACGGCUUAACCGUUAAACUGCUUGGGAAACUGAUAAUCUAGAGUAAGGGAGAGGCAGAUGGAAUUCUUGGUGUAGGGGUAAGAUCCGUAGAGAUCAAGAAGAAUACCCAUUGCGAAAGCGAUCUGCUGGAACUUAACUGACGCUAAUGCGUGAAAGCGUGGGGAGCAAACAGGAUUAGAUACCCCCGUAGUCCCUGUCUCUUAUAA
rnacentral:rRNA from 1 species